rnacentral:rRNA from 1 species
GUGGGGAAUAUUGCGCAAUGGGCGAAAGCCUGACGCAGCAACGCCGCGUGGGGGAUGAAGGUUUUCGGAUUGUAAACCCCUUUCGACCGGAACGAAUCUCCUCUUGGUAAAUAAUCAGGAGGAUCGACGGUACCGGGAGAAGAAGCCACGGCUAACUCUGUGCCAGCAGCCGCGGUAAGACAGAGGUGGCUAGCGUUGUUCGGAUUUAUUGGGCGUAAAGCGAACGCAGGUGGUUUGGUAAGUCAGGGGUGAAAUUCCACAGCUUAACUGUGGCAUUGCCUUUGAUACUGCCUUUCUUGAGUGCAUGAGGGGGAAGCGGAAUUCCGAGUGUAGAGGUGAAAUUCGUAGAUAUUCGGAGGAACACCGGUGGCGAAGGCGGCUUCCUGGCAUGUAACUGACACUCAUGUUCGAAAGCGUGGGUAGCAAACAGGAUUAGAAACCCGGGUAGUCC